GCCAGUCAGCUCAUAUCAGUUGCAGGAAUGAAUCCACUGCAACUGGACAGAAAUCUCCCAUUGCAGCUGAUCUUGUUGCAUCUUCUCUCUGCCAUCAACUAACAUCUUUGUUUGGCCUCACUCUUCUGCUGUUAUUUUCCCACCUUGGAGUUAGCUAGCCAUGGACUGAAUCUUCUGAAACUCUGCAAGAGCUUGUGUGAGGAACCUGAGCUCUAGAAUGGAAUGCUGUCAAGAUGACUCCUUAAUUACAACCCUGUGGAGACUCUAAGCAGAGGAAUGGGCUAAGCUAUGCCUGAACCUCUGACCCAUAGAAGAGAAACUCCUGUCUUCACUUUCAUUUUGGACACCACCACCUGGCUCCCAGCACAGACCCUUUGUACUCCUGGUAUGGAACGCCACAGGAUACUAUGCAGAGCUGCAGCCCUUGGACCUGAUUCUUUGGAACCCCAGUGCCAGACAGACCUUUUGCACCCUUCCAAACCUGAUUCUGUA